rnacentral:rRNA from 1 species
CGGGUGAGUAACACGUGGAUAACCUACCUAUAAGACUGGGAUAACUUCGGGAAACCGGAGCUAAUACCGGAUAAUAUUUUGAACCGCAUGGUUCAAAAGUGAAAGACGGUCUUGCUGUCACUUAUAGAUGGAUCCGCGCUGCAUUAGCUAGUUGGUAAGGUAACGGCUUACCAAGGCAACUAUGCAUAGCCGACCUGAGAGGGUGAUCGGCCACACUGGAACUGAGACACGGUCCAGACUCCUACGGGAGGCAGCAGAG